CUGAUGCGUUGUUGGGUAGGGGAGCGUUCUGUAAGCCUGCGAAGGUGACCUGUGAGGGUUGCUGGAGGUAUCAGAAGUGCGAAUGCUGACAUAAGUAACGAUAAAGCGGGUGAAAAGCCCGCUCGCCGGAAGACCAAGGGUUCCUGUCCAACGUUAAUCGGGGCAGGGUGAGUCGACCCCUAAGGCGAGGCCGAAAGGCGUAGUCGAUGGGAAACGGGUUAAUAUUCCCGUACUUGGUGUUACUGCGAAGGGGGGACGGAGAAGGCUAUGUUGGCCGGGCGACGGUUGUCCCGGUUUAAGCGUGUAGGUGUGUGUUCCAGGUAAAUCCGGUUCACUUUAACACUGAGGCGUGAUGACGAGGCACUACGGUGCUGAAGCAACAAAUGCCCUGCUUCCAGGAAAAGCCUCUAAGCAUCAGGUAACAUCAAAUCGUACCCCAAACCGACACAGGUGGUCAGGUAGAGAAUACCAAGGCGCUUGAGAGAACUCGGGUGAAGGAACUAGGCAAAAUGGUGCCGUAACUUCGGGAGAAGGCACGCUGACAC
rnacentral:rRNA from 1 species